UACCAGCACCCCGAGUGGUCGGGACGAUUAUUGGGCCUAAAGCAUCCGUAGCCGGUUUUACAAGUCCUCCGUUAAAUCCAACUGCUUAACAGAUGGGCUGCGGAGGAUACUAUAAGACUAGGAGGCAGGAGAGGCAAGCGGUACUCAGUGGGUAGGGGUAAAAUCCGUUGAUCCACUGAAGACCACCAGUGGCGAAGGCGGCUUGCCAGAAUGCGCUCGACGGUGAGGGAUGAAAGCUGGGGGAGCAAACCGG
rnacentral:rRNA from 1 species